rnacentral:rRNA from 1 species
UACGUAGGGGGCAAGCGUUGUCCGGAAUUACUGGGCGUAAAGCGCGUGUAGGCGGGUCAGCAAGUCCGCUGUAAAAGUCAAAAGGCUCAACCUUUGAAUGUCAGUGGAUACUGCCGGGCUAGAGUCCGGAAGAGGCGAGUGGAACUCCUGGUGUAGCGGUGGAAUGCGCAGAGUAUCAGGAGGAACACCGGUGGCGAAGGCGGGUCUCUGGGCCGAUACUGACGCUGAUGCGCGAAAGCCAGGGGAGCGAACGGG